UACGUAGGGCGCGAGCGUUGUUCGGAUUUAUUGGGCGUAAAGAGCUCGUAGGCGGCUUGUCGCGUCGGCUGUGAAAUCCCGUGGCUCAACUGCGGAUCUGCAGUCGAUACGGGCAGGCUAGAGUUCGGUAGGGGAGACUGGAAUUCCUGGUGUAGCGGUGAAAUGCGCAGAUAUCAGGAGGAACACCGGUGGCGAAGGCGGGUCUCUGGGCCGAUACUGACGCUGAGGAGCGAAAGCGUGGGGAGCGAACAGG
rnacentral:rRNA from 1 species